UACGUAGGGUGCGAGCGUUGUCCGGAAUUACUGGGCGGAAAGCGCGCGUAGGCGGCUUUGCAAGUCGGGUGUGAAAUCCCCAGGCUUAACCUGGGAACUGCAUUCGAGACUGCAUUGCUAGAGUAUGGGAGAGGGAAGUGGAAUUUCCGGUGUAGCGGUGAAAUGCGUAGAUAUCGGAAGGAACAUCAGUGGCGAAAGCGACUUCCUGGACCAAUACUGACGCUCAUGUGCGAAAGCGUGGGGAGCAAACAGG
rnacentral:rRNA from 1 species